rnacentral:rRNA from 1 species
UACGUAGGUGGCAAGCGUUGUCCGGAUUUACUGGGUGUAAAGGGCGUGUAGCCGGGCUGACAAGUCAGAUGUGAAAUCCGGGGGCUCAACCCCCGAACUGCAUUUGAAACUGUUGGUCUUGAGUAUCGGAGAGGCAGGCGGAAUUCCUAGUGUAGCGGUGAAAUGCGUAGAUAUUAGGAGGAACACCAGUGGCGAAGGCGGCCUGCUGGACGACAACUGACGGUGAGGCUCGAAAGCGUGGGGAGCAAACAGG